GACGAACGCUGGCGGCGUGCUUAACACAUGCAAGUCGAACGGAGCGAAUGAAAGCUUGCUUUUAUAAGCUUAGUGGCAAACGGGUGAGUAACACGUAGACAACCUGCCGACAGGAUGGGGACAACAUUCCGAAAGGAAUGCUAAUACCGAAUGAAGCGCAGGAGAGGCAUCUCUCCUGCGUGAAAGAUGGCCUCUAUAUAUAAGCUAUCACCUGUUGAUGGGUCUGCGUCUGAUUAGCUGGUAGGUGAGGUAACGGCUCACCUAGGCGACGAUCAGUAGCCGGUCUGAGAGGAUGAACGGCCACAUUGGGACUGAGACACGGCCCAGACUCCUACGGGAGGCAGCAGUGGGGAAUCUUCCGCAAUGGGCGCAAGCCUGACGGAGCAACGCCGCGUGAGUGAAGAAGGUCUUCGGAUCGUAAAGCUCUGUUGAUGGGGACGAACGUGCCUAAUGCGAAUAGUUUUAGGCAAUGA
rnacentral:rRNA from 1 species